rnacentral:rRNA from 1 species
AUACGGAGGAUGCAAGCGUUAUCCGGAUUUAUUGGGUUUAAAGGGUGCGUAGGCGGUUUGCUAAGCGGGAGGUGAAAUGCCGGCGCUCAACGUCGGAAGUGCCUCCCGAACUGGUGGACUUGAAUGACUCUGCCGUGGGAGGAAUGUGUAGUGUAGCGGGGAAAUGCUUAGAGAUUACACAGAACACCGAUUGCGAAGGCAUCUCACGAAGGGUUGAUUGACGCUGAGGCACGAAAGCGUGGGGAUCAAACAGGAUUAGAUACCCUGGUAGUCCACGCAGUAAACGAUGAUGGCUAACCGCUGGGCUUAUCAGUUCAGUGGCCAAGCGAAAGCGAUAAGCCAUCCACCUGGGGAGUACGACCGCAAGGUUGAAACUCAAAUGAAUUGACGGGG